GGGGCUGAUUCUGGAUUCGACGGGAUUUGCGAAACCCAAGGUGCAUGCCGAGGGGCGGUUGGCCUCGUAAAAAGCCGCAAAAAAUAGUCGCAAACGACGAAAACUACGCUUUAGCAGCUUAAUAACCUGCUUAGAGCCCUCUCUACCUAGCCUCCGCUCUUAGGACGGGGAUCAAGAGAGGUCAAACCCAAAAGAGAUCGCGUGGAAGCCCUGCCUGGGGUUGAAGCGUUAAAACUUAAUCAGGCUAGUUUGUUAGUGGCGUGUCCGUCCGCAGCUGGCAAGCGAAUGUAAAGACUGACUAAGCAUGUAGUACCGAGGACGUAGGAAUUUCGGACGCGGGUUCAACUCCCGCCAGCUCCACCA
rnacentral:tmRNA from 1 species